UACGUAGGGGGCGAGCGUUGUCCGGAUUUAUUGGGCGUAAAGAGCUCGUAGGUGGUUUGGUAAGUCGGAUGUGAAAUCUCCAGGCUCAACCUGGAGGGGUCAUUCGAUACUGCCAUGACUAGAGUUCGGUAGGGGAGACUGGAAUUCCUGGUGUAGCGGUGAAAUGCGCAGAUAUCAGGAGGAACACCGAUGGCGAAGGCAGGUCUCUGGGCCGAUACUGACGUGGAGGAAGCGA
rnacentral:rRNA from 1 species